rnacentral:lncRNA from 1 species
UCUCCUUGAAAAACCCCAAAACAAACCAAUCCCCUCUCUUAACAAACCAGAUUCCAGUUGUCGGAAGCACCGCACUGGCCAUCGUGCGCCGCUGUUGGCGGUGACUAUUCCAUCUCCAAAUUCCACCUACUUCUUCCUCUUGACCUCCACUUUCCCCCUAUCAAGAUGGAUUCCCCCAAAAGUCCCCGAAUUUCGCUAGAUCUUCACCGAAAAUUUUGGUUUAAAAGCUUUAAACCACCCACUUCCGCAGCUCCACUGGCUUCGGUUUUUCGCUAUGCCCUUCCUCUUCCUUUGGCCUUCCCUUCCUCUAAAUUUCAAGAUCCAAAUCUAUCUAAACUACUCCCUAAACCUUAACUCCCUCUCCUUUUAUUUUUGUUUUUCUUUAUUGCCUUUAUUCCUUGAAUGAGGUUCCUUCCCCUAGGAUGACUGUGGCUUUUUUUUUUUUUUUUUGUGAUUUUGGGUUCUAGGUGUUAGAAAAAAAGAAGCAAGGUAUUUUUGUUUUUUGGGUAUGGUUUUUGGUUUUCAGAGAACAAAGGUUUUUUUUUUUUCUUUUUCUGUUUGGAUGGUUGAGGGUGCGGCUUGACUGCUGGUAAGGACUUGGGGAUUGUGUUCGGUUGUUUGUAAUUUGGGCACAAGAGGUUUCGGCUAGAAGCAAAGGGUAGUGAUGGAUGUUAGGUUCGUUGCUGUUGGGCUUGUUCAGGGGGGUCUCGAAAGCUGCAUAGGGAGGGUGCUCUCUUGCUUUUCAAUUGUGGCAGAGAUUGUUUUUUGUUGGUUUUUUUUUUUUUUUUUUGUAGUAAUGGAAAAAUGAUUUCGGUUUUUCUAGGGUGGUAGGAUUCUUACUCGGUGGUGGGGGUUGUUCGGUAGCAGGCAGUAUCGAUCACUAAAGGGAGCUAGUGAAGGUUCAUUUCUUGGUUGAGGCCGAAUCGGUAUUUGCUCUGUAUCGAUUUUGCUGUGAGGGGAGCUGUGUGUCAACCAAAGGGAGAUAUGGUGGUUCUCGGGCUAUUGGCAGUGAGCGUUUAGGGAUUUUUUUCUGUGAAAAUUGUUCGAUUCCUCUCGUUUGAAUUUUCCCUUCUCUGUGUAUUUUUUCUUUAGCUGAGUGUCCUUUCCAAUCCUCUGCUUGUUGCCCCUAUGUAUGUAUAUCUAUGAAUUUGUGUAACAGGACACAAGAAUUUAAUGCUCCACAGAAUCGCAGGAACAAAAUUGCUGCAUCAAAUUGAAAAUUUGGCUCGUUGUGGCAUGAAGUAGGCAGGUGGCGCUAUGUGCAAUUGUUUGCCAACCGUUAUCAUCUGUCCUCUUUCUCUUUUUAUCUUUUUUUCAUUUUCUUUUCAUAAUUCAAAUAAAAAUGAAAUUGGGCCUUAAGAUGGAU